rnacentral:rRNA from 1 species
GAUUCAUGGCUCAGGAUGAACGCUGGCGGCGUGCCUAAUACAUGCAAGUAGAACGCUGAAGGAGGAGCUUGCUCUUUCCGGAUGAGUUGCGAACGGGUGAGUAACGCGUAGGUAACCUGCCUGGUAGCGGGGGAUAACUAUUGGAAACGAUAGCUAAUACCGCAUAACAGUAGAUAUUGCAUGAUAUCUGCUUGAAAGGGGCAAUUGCUCCACUACCAGAUGG